rnacentral:rRNA from 1 species
UACGAGGGGAGCAAGCGUUGUUCGGAUUUACUGGGCGUAAAGGGCGCGUAGGCGGCCACGACAAGUCACUUGUGAAAUCUCCGGGCUUAACUCGGGACGGUCAAGUGAUACUGUCGGGCUAGAGUACAGAAGGGGCAACUGGAAUUCUCGGUGUAGCGGUGAAAUGCGUAGAUAUCGAGAGGAACACCUGCGGCGAAGGCGGGUUGCUGGGCUGAUACUGACGCUGAUGCGCGAAAGCCAGGGGAGCGAACGGG